ensembl:lncRNA novel transcript
UGUUUAGUCAAGGACAGGCUCUCAUGAGAGGGUGGCCAAGAUGGUUGGAGAAAUAAAUCAAGACAGCGAGAAUGAAAUGGCAGACGCGGCAACAUCUCAUUAACACUUAGCUCAGAUGACUCAGUAACGUCAAUAAGGAAGGGUGACUACAACUGUGUACUUGUGAAAGAUAGAACAGGGCCUCGGGGAACGUGUGCUCCAAUCUUCUCAUUUUUCAGAGGAAGAGCCCCAGAAGAGCUCACCUCACUCACAGCUGCUCAGUGGUAGAGCCGGGAUCAGAACUCCAGCAUCCUGAUUCCGGAUUCAGCACUGUUCACAGCUCUCUGCUUGGUGUGGUAAGGGAGGAGGCAGAACACUGGCUCAGAACAAUGACGGGAGAUGAAGAAGAACAGAGCUUCUCUCUUCAAACCUGUUUCCAUGGUCCACCCCACAGCUGCAGCUACACGUCCCGCAGUUCAAGGAAGCCAUAUCCUUCCGGGCAUUUUCAGCUUUUGCGUCCCCCUUUUCAACAGGACAGGUGUCCCGGUUCUCACACGGACUCUAAGUUGAAAAGAUAAGAAAGGAGACUUACCAUAAGUUUCAAAAAAACCCAGUGCCUUGGUUUGAAACAGCCUGGUAAAAUGAAGGAAGGAAGGACUUCCUCCUUGGCUGCAGGACUGGAUUCUGAGAGCACCCUCUCUUUCUCUGAGUCCCCUGGUUUAUAUAAUUUGAAUAACUAGGGAUUCCAGAGCAUUACCUCAUAGCAAAUGCUAGGAAGCAUCAGAAUACUGUUUGCCUAGAGGGAGUGGGAGGAGGGAUGAGAACCAAGGUAGAGGAGAGAGAAGGGAGGUUAAAGCCUGGUCCCAGGUGCAGCUGCAGGUGGGGGGACUCACUCUGUGUCAUGCCUAUCCCUAGUGACACCCCAGGGAGAUGACCAGCUUAAUAGCUGCACUCUGGGUCCCAUUCAGUCAGAGGUUUCUCCUCAGAGACCAGGCAGGCACAUUGAGCCCUAUCUGCCACUCCAUCUGUGCCCCUGUUGAGUCCCCAGACGGCAACACUCCCUCUCCACCUUCUCCACCUCCCCUGCACAGCCUCCGUCAAUGUCCAGUACUGAUUCUCCUGUAUCCCUUCUGUCUCUAGGGCUGUCAUUGCCCUUGGUCUCAGCAAAAAUUCUGGAGGUGCAUCGGCUGUGCCAGCAGCCCUGGUCUCCCUGCAGCCUCCCAGAUGCCCACAGAAAGCCCAGGGAAGGCUGAUCCUGCAUCCCUGACUAAUGAUCACGCCUUCAAGACGGGAUGCAGCCUGUGACUCAAACUGUGGAGGCUCAGCAAAUGCAAGAGAGUGGGAGGGAGAAGAGAGGAACACGGAGGAAAACAAAGAUGAAGAGGGGGAGUAGGCAGAGAAAAAGCAAGGGAAGAAAGGCCUCAGAUUCUUGAAAUCUGCAAAGCUGCCCUCCCCACUGUGGCCUCUGCAGUGAUUAAAAUGGUGAGAUACACAUCUUCUACAACAGUCCUGCAGUCUUGUUGGAUAUUACUCCAAGGGAAGAGAGGAUGAAAGUUAGACGAGGAUGUGAGCGUACUUGCAGCUACUGAAACUUGCAGUACAGUAUCAUGUAUACUGCAUAUCCAAAUUCAGAUUUAUAUAGACAGUGAACUCUUAAGGACAAGAACCAUGGCUCUUUUCACGCUAGAGAGGUAAUAAUAUAUGCCAAAACUGUUUUAGUUUGGUCCUGUUCCAAGAAAAUGAGCCUGGCCAGGAAGGAUAUUUAAAGACAAGUGAGGUUCACUCUUUCCACAGGAAGUUGUUAUGUCCAUGGGAGGUAGUUAUGACAU